AGACUAAUCUGAACCUAUUUAGGAUUCUUAAGAUUUUAUGUUCAUAAUCCAAAAGGCAGAAUAGUAUAACUUUCCUAUCCAUGAGAUCUUCUAGGUAAAUUUAAUACAAUUUCUGUUUAAAAUAAUUCUGAGGGCCAUUAUCGUGGUACACCAGGGUAAGCUCCUGCUUAUAACCCUGGCAUCCCAUGUCUGAGUGCUGGUUCAAAACUCACCUAGUGUGUUUCCUAUUCAGGUCCCUGCUAAUGUGCCUGGAAAAGAAGCAUUAGACAGCUAACUUACUUGAGCCCCUGCCACCCAUGAAGGAGACUCAAAUAGAACUUCUGGCUCCGCCUGGAGCACCCCCAGUUAUUGCGACCAUUUGGGGAACAGAUAUUGAAAUUUUAUAAAGUCAAAGAGAUAAUUAUUAUGUAUUCAUAUAAUAUACCUGAAACCAAACUUUUAAAAAGAGUUUUCUUAUGUUCAUGAACCUAUCUAGAAAUGUUGGGCUAUGAAUGAAGUCUAAGUUCUCAGAGUCCUGGUAUGAUUUGGAUAUGGUCCCUGCCUGCCAAAUCUAGUGAUGAAAUUGGAUUGCCAGGGCAAAGUGUGGAAGGUGGGGUCUUAAACAGUUAAAGGGGUGAUGUUAGCUCCACCUUCAUGAAUGGGUUAAGACCUCUCUCAAGAUACUGGCUUAGUUCUUGUUGAACAGACGUGUUCCCCAAGAGAGGCUGUCAUACAACAAGAUGACCCUCUGUGUUUUGGCUCUUCUGCACAUGCCUGGCUGUCCUUCCAUUUGUCUAUCAUAUCCAAAGCAGCACAGGGCCCUCACCAGAAGCUUAUCAGAUAUUGCUACUGGAUUUUUAAUUUCUAGUCUCCAGGACUUUGAGGUGAGCAAUCCUUGUUUUCUUAAUAAAUUACCCAUUCUUGGAACAAAAAUGGACUAUAACAGUUCCUAAUACAAAAUUUUCCUCUACAUCAUCGUGUACCUUAUUCCUACUAUAGAAAAUAAAUGCUUCCAAAUUCAAUGAAUACUUUCUCCU
rnacentral:lncRNA from 1 species